rnacentral:rRNA from 1 species
GCUUGUCUCAAAGAUUAAGCCAUGCACGUCUGAGAAUAAAGGGUUUUCUCUGAAUCUGCGAAUGGCUCAUUAUAUCAGUUAUAGUUUAUUUGAUAGUCCCUUACUACUUGGAGAACCGUAGUAAUUCUAGAGCUAAUACAUGCAUCAACUCCCAACUGCUUGUCGGAUUUAUUAGAUGGAAACCAAUGCGGGGCAACCCGGUGUUGUGGUGAAUCAUGAUAACUUUGCGGAUCGCGUCCUCGUGUCGCGACGAAUCAUUCAAGUUUCUGCCCUAUCAGCUUAGGAUGGGAGGGUAUUGGCCUACCAUGGCUUUGACGGGUAACGGAGAAUUAGGGUUCGAUUUUGGAGAGGGAGCCUGAGAGAUGGCUACCACAUCCAAGGAAGGCAGCAGG